rnacentral:rRNA from 1 species
AACGAACGCUGGCGGCAUGCCUAACACAUGCAAGUCGAACGAGACCUUCGGGUCUAGUGUCGCACGGGUGCGUCACGCGUGGGAACCUGCCCUUAGGUUCGGAAUAACUCCCCGAAAGGGGUGCUAAUACCGGAUAAUGUCUUCGGACCAAAGAUUUAUCGCCUUUGGUUGGGCCCGCGUUGGAUUAGCUAGUUGGUAGGGUAAAAGCCUACCAAGGCGACGAUGCAUAGCUGGUCUGAGAGGAUGAUCAGCCACACUGGGACUGAGACACGGCCCAGACUCCUACGGGAGGCAGCAGUGGGGAAUAUUGGAAAAUGGGCGAAAGCAUGAUCCAGCAAUGACGCGUGAGUGAUGAAGGCCUUAGGGUUGUAAAGCUCUUUUACCCGGGAUGAUAAUGACAGUACCGGGAGAAUAAGCUCCGGCUAACUACGUG